UACGAAGGGGGCUAGCGUUGCUCGGAAUCACGUGGGCGUAAAGCGUCACGUAGGCGGAAUUGCGUAAGUCAGGGGUGAAAUCCUGGAGCUCAACUCCAGAACUGCCUUUGAUACUGGCGAUCUCGAGUCCGGGAGAGGUGAGUGGAACUGCGAAGUGUAGAGGUGAAAUUCGUAGAUACUUGCAAAGAACACCAGUCGGCGAAGGCGGCUCACUGGCCCGGUACUGACGCUGAGGUGCGAAAGCGUGGGGAGCGAACAGG
rnacentral:rRNA from 1 species